GAGUUCUCACAAUCUGCUCAUCGCCAUCAAAAUACAGGACCAGAUACUCAACAGCUUGUGUUUCAAGGACCCACAGCUCUUCAAUAUCCUUCCAAAAUGCGUAAGAGACCUGCAUGGUGUGGAUGUAAGUGUCUUUAAAACAAAAUUGGAUCUCUUCCUG